rnacentral:rRNA from 1 species
GAGAAUCUUCGGCAAUGGGCGAAAGCCUGACCGAGCGACGCCGCGUGCGGGAUGAAGGCCCUCGGGUUGUAAACCGCUGUCAGUGGGGAGGAAGGCUCUGUGAAGAGCAGGGUUUGACCUAUCCGCAGAGGAAGUCCGGGCUAAGUUCGUGCCAGCAGCCGCGGUAACACGAACCGGACAAACGUUAUUCGGAAUCACUGGGCUUAAAGGGUGCGUAGGCGGCCUGACAAGUUGAGUGUGAAAUCCCUCGGCUUAACCGAGGAAUUGCGCUCAAAACUGUUGGGCUUGAGGGAGUUAGAGGUGAGCGGAACUUAGGGUGGAGCGGUGAAAUGCGUUGAUAUCCUAAGGAACACCAGUGGCGAAAGCGGCUCACUGGAGCUCUUCUGACGCUGAGGCACGAAAGCUAGGGGAGCGAACG